AGUGAACGCUGGCGGUAGGCCUAACACAUGCAAGUCGAACGGCAGCACAGUAAGAGCUUGCUAUUACGGGUGGCGGGUGGCGGACGGGUGGGGAAUACAUCGGAAUCUACUUUUUCGUGGGGGAUAACGUAGGGAAACUUACGCUAAUACCGCAUACGACCUACGGGUGAAAGCAGGGGAUCUUCGGACCUUGCGCGAUUGAAUGAGCCGAUGUCGGAUUAGCUAGUUGGCGGGGUAAAGGCCCACCAAGGCGACGAUCCGUAGCUGGUCUGAGAGGAUGAUCAGCCACACUGGAACUGAGACACGGUCCAGACUCCUACGGGAGGCAGCAGUGGGGAAUAUUGGACAAUGGGCGCAAGCCUGAUCCAGCCAUACCGCGUGGGUGAAGAAGGCCUUCGGGUUGUAAAGCCCUUUUGUUGGGAAAGAAAAGCAGCAGGUUAAUACCCCGCUGUUCUGACGGUACCCAAAGAAUAAGCACCGGCUAACUUCGUG
rnacentral:rRNA from 1 species